UACGAAGGGGGCUAGCGUUGCUCGGAAUUACUGGGCGUAAAGCGCACGUAGGCGGCUUCUUAAGUCGGUGGUGAAAUCCUGGAGCUCAACUCCAGAACUGCCUUCGAUACUGGGAAGCUCGAGUCCGGGAGAGGUGAGUGGAACUGCGAGUGUAGAGGUGAAAUUCGUAGAUAUUCGCAAGAACACCAGUGGCGAAGGCGGCUACCUGGACCGGUUCUGACGCUGAGGCGCGAAAGCGUGG
rnacentral:rRNA from 1 species